rnacentral:rRNA from 1 species
GAUAAACGCUGGCGGCGCACAUAAGACAUGCAAGUUGAACGGACUUAAUCGAAAUAUUUAUAUUUUGAAGCGGUUAGUGGCAGACUGGUGAGUAACGCGUAAGGAACCUGCCUAUUAGAGGGGAAUAACAGUGAGAAAUCAUUGCUAAUACCGCAUAUGCCAUAGAUAUCACAUGAUAACAGUGGGAAAGGAGCAAUCCGCUAAUAGAUGGCCUUGCGUCUGAUUAGAUAGUUGGUGGGGUAACGGCCUACCAAGUCGACGAUCAGUAGCCGGACUGAGAGGUUGAACGGCCACAUUGGGACUGAGAUACGGCCCAGACUCCUACGGGAGGCAGCAGUCGGGAAUAUUGCGCAAUGGAGGAAACUCUGACGCAGUGACGCCGCGUAUAGGAAGAAGGUUUUCGGAUUGUAAACUAUUGUCGUUAGGGAAGAGAAAGGACAGUACCUAAGGAGGAAGCUCCGGCUAACUACGUG